CCUACGGGAGGCAGCAGUGGGGAAUAUUGCACAAUGGGGGAAACCCUGAUGCAGCGACGCCGCGUGAGUGAAGAAGUAUCUCGGUACGUAAAGCUCUAUCAGCAGGAAAGAAAAUGACGGUACCUGACUAAGAAGCCCCGGCUAACUACGUGCCAUCAGCCGCGGUAAUACGUAGGGGGCAAGCGUUAUCCGGAUUUACUGGGUGUAAAGGGAGCGUAGACGGCGCUGCAAGUCCGGAGUGAAAGCCCAUGGCUUAACCAUGGUACUGCUCUGGAAACUGUAGAGCUUGAGUGCGCGAGGGGCAGGCGGAAUUCCUAGUGUAGCGGUGAAAUGCGUAGAUAUCACGCAGAACUCCGAUUGCGAAGGCAGCAUACCGGCGCUCAACUGACGCUCAUGCACGAAAGUGUGGGUAUCGAACAGGAUUAGAUACCCCUGUAGUC
rnacentral:rRNA from 1 species